rnacentral:rRNA from 1 species
AGCGAACGCUGGCGGCAGGCCUAACACAUGCAAGUCGAACGAACUCUUCGGAGUUAGUGGCGGACGGGUGAGUAACACGUGGGAACGUUCCUUUUGGUUCGGAAUGACUCAGGGAAACUUUUGCUAAUACCGAAUGUGCCCUUCGGGGGAAAGAUUUAUCGCCAUUAGAGCGGCCCGCGUCUGAUUAGCUAGUUGGUGAGGUAACGGCUCACCAAGGCGACGAUCAGUAGCUGGUCUGAGAGGAUGACCAGCCACACUGGGACUGAGACACGGCCCAGACUCCUACGGGAGGCAGCAGUGGGGAAUCUUGCGCAAUGGGCGAAAGCCUGACGCAGCCAUGCCGCGUGAAUGAUGAAGGUCUUAGGAUUGUAAAAUUCUUUCACCGGGGACGAUAAUGACGGUACCCGGAGAAGAAGCCCCGGCUAACUUCGUG